UCUUCAUCUGUCAGCGGUAAAUAAUAGAUACGGGGAGUGGCUUUGGUCUUUCUGAAGAGGUCAUCCAAAGUAACAAUAGGGGGAUCAUUUUUAUCAGCAACAGGUGAAGGCAGCAUCUCUUUUGUUGGAGGAGCACUAGGAGGAGCAGGUGGUGGCUGGCGUGUGAGUGAAUGUUCCAACUCAGCUUGCUGUUUGCGACCCUGCUGCUGAGCAGGUGGUGUUUGAACAGAGGAUGAAGCAGGCACAGCAGGACUGGUAACUUUCGGUGGAGAAGCAGGUUCCCGACCCUCUAUCUUGGUUUGCACCUGUUGAGGAUCAACAAAAUCUGCAACCAGGAGACGACCUCCAUUUGGUGGCCAUUG
rnacentral:lncRNA from 1 species